rnacentral:rRNA from 1 species
UACAGAGGUCUCAAGCGUUGUUCGGAUUCAUUGGGCGUAAAGGGUGCGUAGGUGGCGCUGUAAGUCAGGUGUGAAAUUUCGGAGCUCAACUCCGAAACUGCAUUUGAUACUGCGGUGCUUGAGGACUGGAGAGGAGAUUGGAAUUCACGGUGUAGCAGUGAAAUGCGUAGAUAUCGUGAGGAAGACCAGUGGCGAAGGCGGAUCUCUGGACAGUUCCUGACACUGAGGCACGAAGGCCAGGGGAGCAAACGGG